ACGAACGCUGGCGGCGUGCCUAAUACAUGCAAGUCGAACGCUUCUUUCCCCCCGAGUGCUUGCACUCAAUUGGAAAGAGGAGUGGCGGACGGGUGAGUAACACGUGGGUAACCUACCCAUCAGAGGGGGAUAACACUUGGAAACAGGUGCUAAUACCGCAUAACAGUUUAUGCCGCAUGGCAUAAGAGUGAAAGGCGCUUUCGGGUGUCGCUGAUGGAUGGACCCGCGGUGCAUUAGCUAGUUGGUGAGGUAACGGCUCACCAAGGCCACGAUGCAUAGCCGACCUGAGAGGGUGAUCGGCCACACUGGGACUGAGGCACGGCCCAGACUCCUACGGGAGGCAGCAGUAGGGAAUCUUCGGCAAUGGACGAAAGUCUGACCGAGCAACGCCGCGUGAGUGAAGAAGGUUUUCGGAUCGUAAAACUCUGUUGUUAGAGAAGAACAAGGACGUUAGUAACUGAACGUCCCCUGACGGUAGCAAACCAGAAAGCCACGGCUAACUACGUG
rnacentral:rRNA from 1 species